AGAUAUAGAGUGUGAGAGAGAAGAGUGGAGGCUGGUUCUCAGGCUCCAGAAGCAUAAGCCUGCAUGGAGCAUAGCGUCACUGAGCAAGACAGGUGUGGAGGAUGAGAAGCGGGCCACAGGAUGGGAAGGGAAUCUGUGUGGAGGCGGUGCCCUAAACAUGCUGCCUUGAGGAGGGACCUCUACAUGGGGUGGCCGGGCACAGCCAGCUUCAACUUCGAGAAUAAUUUGAAUGUUUUCAGCAUAAAGAAAAGAUAAAUGUUUAAGGCUACCCAUGGGGACCUCAACAGCUUUGCCAUUGCACACUAUCUUUGCAGACAAGAUCUUAAUCACAUCCAACUUUCUGCAGUUGCACAGGGUACCUCAGACCCACAUCCCAGAUGACAUUCCUCAGAAGCUCGCAGCUGGAGAUGACAUCACCUUAGACAACAUCACCCUAGCCCAAGACAUCGCUAUUAGAGAUACAUCACCUGGACACUAAAGCCUCCAACCCAGUGACACUCUCAAGGUGCUGACAAAAUGGACAUGGACAUUUGUUGCUUUUCUUCUUUUGAAUUAGGAACUCUAUUGUGUUUCCUGAAUUUACUGUCUGCUUGGCCCAUGAUCCUGGUAUGUUCCUUGCUCUCUGCCAAAACAUGCACCGUCCCCUCCACACCUAAAGGAAAACCUGGUAGAAGCUACUACUCUCAAUGCCAUUCUAAAAUUGACGAAGAGUAUUAUUUUCCCCAAGAGGCAGCUGCUGCAGGCCAGUGAAUCCUCUGGACCCUGGGGAGAGGGUCAUACACUCCCUAGUGACUUCUACUGUAUGCUCCAGCUUUCCACCAGGACCUCCUGCCCUGUCCCCAACUGUAACGACCACAACCACCCCAUCCCCUUGGUUACACACAAAUAUCACCAGUCUUUACAUGUACUUUACUGACUUCUCAGAUAAUACCCUCCAACAAGAUAACUGCAGGACUUGCCACCAUGACCUGAGAAAUACACCAAGAUAUUAUUGUCCAAUUUUUUUGAGAUAUAUAUAUAUUUCUCAUACUUUUAACAUACUCUGCAAUCCACCAAGAUAUUGGUAGAGACCCUGGAAAUUUCAAAUCUAUUUCGUCUGCUAAUGCCAUGUGAAUGGGAAACUUAGAUACAGGCUGGCCUACAAGGACUCCUUAUACUUCAAUUUUUGUUCCUCCUUUCAACUCUCAUAAAAAAUAUUUUCUGUACUAUUUAGGGCAAAUGAUGGCCUUCUUUCUAAGUCUCAUCCAUCAUUGCUGCAAAGGUGCCUUAGUUUGAUGUUAAAGUGUCACAGGGCCAAUGUAUUGACCAUGUUUCUGGCGUCUAUAAAGUCGAUGUUUUAAUAUC
ensembl:lncRNA LYRM4-AS1 LYRM4 antisense RNA 1